rnacentral:rRNA from 1 species
GACGAACGCUGGCGGCGUGCUUAACACAUGCAAGUGGAGCGACGAACCGGGGCUUGCCCCGGGGCAGAGCCGCGAACGGGUGAGUAACACGUGGGUAACCUGCCUCAAUGAUUGGGACAACCCGGGGAAACUCGGGCUAAUACCAAAUGUGUUCACUCCUUCUAAGGGGAGUGAGGAAAGGAAGCUUCGGCCUCCGCAUUGAGAUGGGCCCGCGGCCCAUUAGCUUGUUGGUGAGGUAACGGCUCACCAAGGCUUCGAUGGGUAGCUGGUCUGAGAGGACGAUCAGCCACACUGGGACUGAGACACGGCCCAGACUCCUACGGAGGCAGCAGUGGGGAAUCUUGCACAAUGCGCGAAAGCGUGAUGCAGCAACGCCG